UUUUCCAAAUUUUUCUCUCUCUUUUCAAGUGUUAGAUGAAAACAUUAUGGAGGAGGAAAUAGGGGAAAAGAGAAGUCAGGGGCUUUGUGUCAGAUUUAGAAUAUGAAAGAUGAAAAAGGAAAAAGAGACAAAAGAAAGGGAAGGAAUAGUAUGAAAAUGAAUGAGAGAGGGGAAAUGGCCAAGAUAUAUGGAAAGAAAGCAAGAGGCAAAGUGGCUGAGAAAAGAUGGAGAAGACAAUUUGAAGAAAACAUUUGAGGCUGCAAAAUAGUAGCUGUACAUGUCUCUAGUGGAAAAUAGUCAUUAGAGGGCACAUAUAAGCAAAUGUGACAUUAAAAAUUACACAAUAGCAGAUAAGUAAAGGCUGUGGGUAGGUCUGGAUAGUUCUCCUCCAAAUAAGGGAGCUGAAAGUCAGCAUUCCCUUAUUACAGCUAUUGUGAAGCUAAAGUUCACUUGUACUGAAAUGUUUCCUUACUUUGUAUCAUAGCUUGAUAAGUGAUUUGUUCCACUGGGAGAAAACCUUUUAUCACCAUGGCCCAUGUGUGUUUUGUUGGCACAGUAUCUGAAGUGCAAUUAUUCAAUAUACUUUUUCAGCUGGUGGGUAUUUGUUUGAAUUUUUAACAAAGGCGGGGUAAAACAGUGUUUUUCAAAAAUUCUGGUUAGCACUUUCUCAACUCUUCUGUUGCUACUUUUUCUGUCUGUCUACAGCCAAAUCCACUCCCUAAAACACUGAGGCACUGCAACCCCUAAACCAAAAAUCCUUUGAGUGUUUGUAACACCCUGCUCACCCACAGACACACCACUUCUUCCAGUGGCCAUUCCCACUGUCGCUGUGCUGAUGGGCUCUGGGAGGCCAAGCACAUGAUCCCUGAUUUCAACGAGGGACCACUUCAGGGAUUACACACAAAAACCCAGUGCCAUAGCUGCAGCAGGGUUCCUGGUUCUCCCAGUGCUAGUGCAGCCACUGCUUGGUGACAGCUUUUACAACACUCUCACACUUGUUAAAUUCCUCCUCUCCUUGAUUUCAUAUGCUGAACAGUAGCCAAAGCCAUAAUCUGUGAUCUUUCUACCUCCCAAGAAUCUUGUAGCCAUACGGUUUAACAAACAGGUGUCCUGUUACAACAACAGUGACCUGGAAACGACAAAGAACUUUUCCAAAAUGUGCCAUGUAAACAUCAUAUUUUUUUCAAGAUGGCUUUUUUUUUUCAUUCUCUUACUAUUUAUAUACUAUUUACACAGUAACCUUUAUUUUGCUGGACUUUUUUCUCUUCAGCUCUUGAAUGACAUAGAUUUUACAUGAAAAUAAAUAUUAGCCCUUGGCUUUGUCCAUGCAGACAUGUGAGCAUCUCUCUAAACCGAAGAGCAUCACGACAGCAUCUGAUGUUUUGUGGUAGUGAUACCUUUGAGCAUUUUGACCAAUGGUCUUUGUAACUGAAAAGUACACAGAAGUUAGGCAAGGCUGGGCAAUACGUAAACAUUAUCUGCCAAGAGAGGCUGCUACACUGUACAGCUGCUGUAAAUCACAGGCUUGGUAAAAGCUGAUGCUGGGCUAAGUAUCCUACAUUCAAUAAAGAAACAAUUUCCUUUCUGUGAUGAUGGGUGACCAUCCUCAAGCCACUGACCACAUACUGUGAGAUGUGUCCUUAGGGAUUUCUUUGGAGAUAAGACAUUGGAGUGCUCCUUGACUGCAGCUCUAUUAAAAUCAGUCAGAGAAUGAAAGUAAGGAAAAAGCAAUCAUACAGCAAAAAAAGAGUGUGGCCUUGGGUAGAAAUAGGAACCCAACACUUCUUUUGGUUAGAGAGCUUACUGAAAAGUCCAACCAUCAUUUCUCAACAAGGAAAUGAAUUUGUUGAUUGUUCCCACUGGUCCAGGAAGAAAAACAACACAGGAUAAAUAAACAGGGUUGCCCAAAAUAAAUAUUUGUCUCUAAAUAUCAGUGUCAAAACAUCACCCUCAUGGAAUUGAACGAGCAUGAUCCCAAAUGUUCUAUCUUCUACUGGGAUAAAGGAAAAACUGCGUGCACUGGACAGCACACAGACUUAUAGAUACAAAACUGGGGAACUAAGACAUUGGAGUGAAGACCUGUCUCUCCUUCACUUGCGAAAAUCCUCAGGUCUAGAUAAGAAAGUGUGAGUAAGAGAAAAGUAGCAUAAAAUCAGUCUUACUUCUCAAGGUGACCUGCCUUCCCCUUUCUCUGAGCCAGUGCUGUUGCCAUGUCGAGUUGGCUCAAAACUGAAGGGAAUUUUGACCAUUUGAAACUAUUUACAUUUAAAACAAAAAAAGACUUUCAGAAUUCUGACAAAGCAGAAACUUAAUAACUCUGGCAACUGUGGGAAAUACUUAGUGCAGUAUUCUGAGAUUUCACUUAAAACGUUAUAUCUUGAUGAAUGGCUUUUCAUUUGUGGAUUGCUUAAAGGCCUGGUCAUGACCAUGGACCACUGGCAAUUCUACUGAAACUAUGAAAUCACAGUGCUGCUCAGCAAGCAGGUUGUAACUCAAAUUUGUACAGACACAGAGAAGACAUAGGAACACAGAUUAGCUACAGUUCUUAUAAAAUCUUGGGGUUUGUCACAUCUUUAUAUAUGCUUGCUGGUCCCUUACAUAACAAUCCUUCUUAUUGAAUUAUUACAUUUUAGAGGUAUGGAAUGGGAAAAGAUCUCUUGAAUAACCAUAAUUCCCCCUCCUACCACAGGCGACUACAUCCUAGAAGUAUCUUCAAAAACCUGCUUAAACUCCGCCUUAAGAAUGCUUUUUUUUAACAUCUCAGCUUAACACAAAUAUUGAAACUCGAGUUCCUGAUAAUGUUCUGACUCCAAGCUUUGAACUAACCUUUGAAAAUGCUGUAAGUGGGUUAUUUUCUACCGUCAGAUGACUUGUUACUCUGCAAUGACAUUUGCCUUUCCUCUGAGUGUGGCACACUGUGAUUAAGAAGUGAGUUGUUUAUCCUCUGUUCAUAAUCACUUGUAAAGAUCUGAAAUACCUGUUACACACCACCAGCCAUCCCUCCUGUUCUCUGCUACAUUUUCAUUUAGCUUUACGGUCAGUUUAACAUUCUUGAGCCAAAUCAGAAGGCGUAGGACAGCACAGUGCUUAUUCCAGACACAUUCAGAGAAUGCUGAGGUAGGAUUUUACACACAUCCCUGAAAUCCCAUGGUGCAUUCUGUUAUGAUCCCUCCACCCAGAAGUUUUACGAAACAGUCAAGUUUCAAGGCCAGGAGUAACCAUCAUGAUCAUCUGCAGUUUUUCAUCCACUCAAUCCCUUAAUACCCCUGAGGGAAUUACUGUUCCUUCUUAUGUGAAUGAACUCUCCUGAGCCAAGUGACUUCUGUUUAAAGUAAAAACUGUUCCUCAAGAAAAAAAAGAAAAAAAAAAAAAGAAGUCCAGCCUUGCUUACAUCACCUUUCACUAUCAAAUACCUUCUCUUAACAUAGGAGCUAAUAAACUAUUAGCAAGCCAUCUGCUGGCUUCAUCAGUGAGCUAAACACACAGAGCUUCAACUCUGCCUUUGUGAAGCAAAUUUUUCCACAUAUCCAAGGCUUUUUGCACACCCUCCUUGAACUCUUUCUGGUUGGUCACAUUCAUUUUGAAGAGGAUGUCAAAGAGCAGACACAGCCCUCCAGAAAAGGUCUUGGAGUCUGGCUCAGUACAGAUAUCCAAAACAGGGGUGUCUAUUGCUGAGGUUAUCCCAAGGGCCAAACCUCUUCUCUGGAAAUCUGUAGCACAACUUCCCUGUCCUGCCCACAAGGAGCUGAUUUAGGGCCUGGGAAAUAUGAAGCAUUUCUUUAAAAUUCCAUGAGGAAUCCAGGCAAAAGGUGAGGGACACAGAUUCUCUCUGGGGAUAGGAAAAAAGGGAGAGACCCUGCUUUUGAGGACGUUUCUUUCUCACCAGUUCUGAUGCAGUUACCUGUUUAGGAGACAGGUUUUUAUAUGUACACUGUCACAACACUGAGGGAUGUGGAAUCAGGGUCAGCCCCACUGUGUUGGACAUUGCAGAUCCAAAACAUAAAGCUGCUCCCCACCCUGUGAACAAAAAUUUCUAUCAAUUUUUUGCUGCAGACUCAGAGUGGUCAUAGGGCUUUUGUUUAUUUUUUUUCUCACUGUGGUUUAUAGCAAAAAAUAUAGUAAUGAUCAACCUAGUUCUUCUGUAUUUUUUUCAAUCAGUGCCUUAUUUGUUUUCUUCCAACUCUCCAGCAGUGUUCACAGUGGUUCAAAGGGCUCGUAAGCUAGGACAUCAAAAAACAGGUUGUCAAGUCCAGCAAACUAAUAUGAGUAAAAAAAAAUAAUAGUAGACUUCCUUUUAUUUUUUUUCUAAAUCUUUCAGUUCCUGACCUAUAAUAGAAAGGUGUAUAAAAAUAUUGACAUUAUAUGUGAAACAGUGAGGAUCAGAAGAUUUCUACAGGUAUUAAAAAUAAUGAUUUAGCACUUCAUUAGAGUUUGCUUUUCUGUCUAAUUCCCAGUGACAGCUCUGCUCGCUGUACCUGGCCAGUAAUGGUGUUCAGUAAAGAAACUGGGGCUAAACUCAAUAGGAAGCAAUUGUGGAAUACUUUCACCACAGAGCAGCCUUAUGAAAGCAGAGAUUGUAUUCAUUGGUUUCACUGAGGAAAAACAGUUCUGGGUUGUGGAUGAGGAAAAAUUAAUUGAUACAUGCUGCUACUCUUCAUUUUAUUCUCUGAAUAAUAGCUGAGAUGAAUUCAAGCCAUGUCACUCAAUUGAAUUUGUUUAGAAAGAGGGCAAGGAGUGGAGAUGGCAUCCCAUCCAAGGUUUGACUUGCAUCUCAUAAAGAGAUGGGGAAGAUGUAACUGAACUUAAUUUAAUAUGGUGGAUUUUGCUUCAAUUCCCCUCCAGAAAUAGAAAUGUGAUCUACCCUUAUUUGGGAAAGAAAGGCUGUGAUGAAAAUAAUGAAGAGUUAGAGGCCAUAGUGGGAAGGUUCUGGAUCCUGAUGGUCUCUCUGCUUUAGCUGCUCUCACAACUAUCAUCUUUAUCCUGUGGGCACUCAGCUGGACUGGGAUGUGGCUGCUGUUUGUGCAGCAGAUGGAUGGUGCUGUGGCCAAAGUAUCAACACAGCAUUCAGGAGGAAUCCAUUUCUUUUCAGGCUUUGACAUGGGCUUUCUCCACAAUGUUGAGCAAAUAACCUGUACAAAGAGAAAGCAGAAAGGUAAGCAGGCAAAUUCAUUCAUGUCAGUGCUUUAACACUGGAGAUUAUAUCAUUUCUGCAUUAGAAACUCUAUGGGUUUCAAAAACUAUGUAAUUUUUUAAAAGAAACACAACAUCAAGAUUUCCCCCCCCCCCCUUAUCUUGUGAUGUGAUUUUCCCCUACAUAACAAUUUGGAUGACUUUGUUCUUAGUAAAAACAAAAUUAGAGCCUUUAAGAGCAAAAAUAGCUAUUUAGAAAAAAACAAUACUAUGCAAACAACAAUAAGUAUAUGCCAUUACUGUACUUCAGAAACGAAGCCCAUCUGCAGUCUGCUUUCUGAAUCUCACUGCACUGAGCUAGUUUGGGCACACAGACCCUCACUGAAGGACGAAGAGGUGGCAGAAGAGAAAUGGAUGAAAAGAUCAGCCAAUAAAAACCAAGACCAAAGCUCGAUAAAACAGGUGGAAAAUAAUAAGUAAUAAUGUCAAGCAUGAGUGAGGGAAAGUCACCCAUUUAAUUUUCCUCAGCCCAGAGAGAAUGGUUGAUUAAGUUAGUUUGAGUCACCAGAAAAUGUAUGUGGUCUCCCCAGAAAUUGCUCUCCACACAAGAAAUUGGAAGGCCACCUCUGCCAAUCCAGAUCUUGGGACCAUUUCAUCACAUCGUAGAGAUGCACUGAAGUAUCUGCCAUCCUCCCAGGCACCAUAUGGACCAGAGCUUGUGGCUGUUCUCGUGGGAUUCAGUAAUUAUAUUGUCAUUAUUCCUCUUGUUUACUGGAGGGAAAGAUGCUAUCAAAUUUUAAAGAACCAGGUGGGAAAAGUCAUGGAAUAGAAAGAAGAGAUUGAGUGCUGAAUUACUGAAGAAUGGAAGAAAAACUAUCCCUCUUUCCAAACCUGUAAAGCUUCCAGCAAGAGGAAAGAGCCACCCAAAUGCAAAAAACACAGAGGAAACAGCAGUGACUUUGAAGCUCUAAACCUCCUCCUCUGUGCUGUACAAUGUUUUGACCUGUGUAUGUGUUUGCAUGUGUACACAUACAGAGAGAAAGUGAAAGAUCAUCUCUGCUCUGAAAAGCUAAAUUAUUAGAGCUUUGGAACGUUAUAGGACUUGUUCUCUAAAAUUUGCAAUGAGUUAAGCAAGUCAGAGGAGAUUCAGGGGCUCUACCUUUCUUUUAUGAGACAACACUGGCACCUCAUAGGACAUGAUGGUCAUGGAGAACUUGCUUUUCAUAGUCACUAGGUAGAGCUGAGGAGUGCCACCACCAUUCCUGGUGCCAUGCAGAAUACAGAAUAUACAUAGAAUAGCUUUCACUAAAAAGAAUUGAAUCUAAAGGGUCAACCCAGAGACUGGGAGCAUUGCAAAGUCAGUCACAAGAACACAGGACUUCUGUUUUCCAAAAAUGCCUUCCUGAUGUAGAAAUACCAGUUAAUGAUCAAAACUGACCUGGCCUCCCAGGAUUGUAAAUCCCACUGACAGACACCUUAAAAAUACCUCUCUAGUUUCUGCUUUUGGAAAUACUGUGCCCAAGAACAACUAAAAGCAACUCAACCUUUGGAAAGCACACUGAGGGAACCGCAGACUCCUUGAAUGUCACUGGAUUUAGAAAGCAGAUCUUCUGGCCACACAAUGUCCCCAACUUCCUGCUUACAAACUGCUUCAGCAUUGACUCAGUAGGAAUAACACCAUCCACUGAAUCACCCACCCAUCUGCAACACCUGCUUCUUCCUCAGCUAUUACGCCUUCCCUGGGAUGACUCAGUUUAGCUGCUCUGAGCCUGUGAGAUGGGAGAAGACCAUAUCUUAAUUCACAUGGAUUUAUGGGAAAUCAAGGCCCCCUACUAAUUACUGGUUUUCUGCAAUCUGGGAUGCAAUAAUCCCUUGUCCACUCCCUGUGACUCCACUCAGUUGGGGGCUGUUUUGUAACUUUUCCAGCCCUGCCUAUCUGGAACACUUUCCUGCCGAGACACUGACUCACUUCCUCUUUAGGAAGCUCACCCAAAAUCCUUUUCAUUUUAGCUUAUAAACUAUUAUUAACUCCAUCUGUAAAGCAAAACUUUUAUUCAUCAGUAGAGCUAGCUGGGAAUUUUCCAGUGAUAUACACUUUUUUUAUUGUAAGAUGUUGAUUUGUUAGAACAUGAAUCUUUUUUAGAAACACACCAGUUUUGCUUAGGCUUUCAUCAGAAAUAGUACUUGCAUCCAAAGAAGAACAGCUCAGCUUAGCCAAGACACUAGUGGUUAGGUCACUGACAUAGCACAACUGAGGUUUUUGGCAAAACAGGGACCUGAAUCUGACCUCCCUAUCCUACACAGUGUCAUAACAGCAAUCAUCUCCUAGGAUGGAACAAGUUCAUGGCCUCUCAUUGAUGAUGUUUUAUUAAGCGACAAGUCAGUGGUACAAAAACUUGGUCCUGAUAUCUUCUACAUUUCAAACCAGUGAAAUCCCUAGGUAACGGGCAGUUCAGGAAACCCACCAUUUUUUUUUCAGGCUUUCUCAUUUUCCUGAGAAACUUCAAAAAGUCUCAAGUUUUUCCCACCAAGAAGGAUGUUUUUAAAAUCCUGAAAGUUGUCACAGAACAGGAGAAUUACGAAAGAUUCCAGAUGACUUGUACUUACUGUUUUUCCCAACAAUAGCCCCAAGAAGCAGGUCACUCCAGUCACCUUACAAGCCCUCAGGCUGCAGCCAAUGUGCAGGUCUUUUUCUUAGGAGUGGUGGCAAAUUUCUUUGUGAUAUAUCUUCAUCAGAAAACAGACCACAUCAGUCAAAAUGUUUCCUCUGAAGUACCUCAUAUUUAUUAAACUCCUGAUGAGUGAGGUGAUGGGUUUCUGUGGCUGAUGGACACUCCAACUUUGUUAGAACAUAAGCACAAUUGCACAUUUAAAUUUCACUGUGGAUAACCCGUAGUGCAUUACCCAGGUGUCUAUGUUUUUUCAUGGGCUAAAGAAGCAAGACCUGACUAGCAAGUGUGGCUUUUUUUCCCACUAUUUUCACCCAUGGUUUCAGAUAUAUGUUUUUCAGAAGUAGUUUCAGAAAUGUACUUAAGAUCAAAUUGUCAUAUUUAAAUAUAUAUUCAGUAGUUUAGUCUUUGAAAAUGUUCCAUUUUGCAGCAAGAGGAAUGCCAUUAUCAUCUGAACUGUAUCCCUAUUUUGUAUUCUUACAGUUUUGCUCAUUAGGAAUCGUGGGGCUAAUGGAACUACUCCCACUCAUUUGGUUUUUGUAAUCUGUUAAUCAUCAAGUGUUGAGCUUCUGGGCAACUUUCAAACUAUAUCAACUAUUUUACAACUAUAGGUUGCUCCCCAUUUAACAGCCAAGAAGUCCUGGAACUGCUGACCACUAUGGACCUACAAAAGAAAUGAUGUGCUGUCCAGCACCCAUUUGAUCAACACAACCAAACAGGGUGGUGUACAUCUUUCUGAAAAGCAAAGGCUUUUGUUUCUAUUCUGGCUGGAAUGUCCUAUUACAUGAGGACACUCUUUUAGUGCUGUGUACUUAACUGUGAGACUCCAUGGUGAGAAAGGGCUUCUUUCUGCUAAGAGAACUUCAUUAUUGAAUAUCUCAUUUCUAGGGAAAAUGCUUGUCAUCUGUUUCUAGGAAAGACAUUAUUUCAAGGAGAUUUAGCCUUGGCUGUGUCUGCUUUCCAUGUACAUGCUGUGGACCCAUAUUUAGUGCUAGAACAAAAGGACAGUGAAGGGAAAUGUCUGUGCAAAGGAAAUUUUCGACCCAAGAGUGGUGCCUCAAGGGUUCUGACUGAAAAGGAACAGGAAAGAAAAAAUCCAAGCCAAUCUGCCUUUUCCACCCCCUGUAUUUGUCAGUUGCUCCCCCUCCUUUAGACUGUCAGAUUUCACUCCCAUUCUACUGUACAGGCACAUAAAUCUUGCCAGAUAUGCUUCACUCACUUAACACCUACCUGCCGGAGCUUAUUCAGAGAGAGGGGAGAAAAGCAACCUCAAACCCUGGCAAUUCUUAUAAAUCACAGUGUUGCUAAUCUCUUUUCAAGAGAGUCAAAUGUAAAGUCAUGUUCCUUCUUGUGAAAACAUUACUAGCCUGUGGGUGUCAACACAGCCUUCUUUUCCAAGAAAUCUGUUGCAUCCCACAGCGACUCCGGAGAAAUUGCACUCUCAUGACAGUGAAGAGAGUCUGCUAGAAAAACAUCACACGCCAAUUCCAUGCAACAGCAACCUCAACAAGCACUUGUUUUUGUAAGAUCAGCUCUCCCUAAUUUCACAAAAAGCAGAAUUGAACUUGACCAAGAUACUCUUUAAGGGACUUGUUUUUACGACGUCAUUGUUGCGAGCUCUUUCCCCACCCCAAAAAUCACAUUUUUAGCUUCUUUAUUCAUUCUGUGCCAAGAGAUACAAUCCUAUUUCUUUACAGCUCUCUUAUAGAGUAAAAAAGAACUUAAGCCACUUGGCUGCUACAUGUACACAUCCUUCUACACCCUGUCUUCCAACAGUGGGAUUGUCUCCUCCCCUGGGAAUACACCUCCUUAGCACCAAGGAGGUCAGCCCACAGCAGUUAACCUGUUUUUAUAAAGGUCUUGUCCUUUCUUGAUGAAAAGAUCAUCUCUGGCCCCUCAGACCCUUGCAGAAACCCACCUACUCAUGAGAUCUGAGGAAGAUCCCAAGCUGCUUCCCAGAUUAGUAUCUGGAGAGUGUCCAUAGAUCACUUGCAGGGAAAGAGCCUUUUCUAGGAAGCAUUUUUACAACUAAGUAAAGGGAAUAAGACAUGCUUUAUGAAGAGAGGGCAGAGUCUCAGGCAGUCAGCAUGCAGUAUAUCACCUAAAGACAGCACCCAUUAAGCACUUUGUUCCAGUAUUUAAAGGGUGGCUGGAAAGAAGAUGGAGACUCCAUUUUUACAAGGAAUCACAUGGAAAAAACAAGGGAUAAUGAGUACAAGUUGCUCCUGGGGAGAUCCUGAUUACAAACAAGAGGAAAAUUUUUCACAGUGAGAACAGCCAUUGGAAGGAUCUUCCCAGGGAAGUAGUGAAUUCCCCAACGCUGGACAAUUUUAAGAUGCAGCUGGAGAAGGUGCUGGGCCAUCUUGUCUAGACUGUGCUUUUACCAAGAGAGGUUAGACCAGAUGAGCCUUGAGGUCCUUUCCAACCUGGUAUUCUAUGAUUCUAUGAUACUGAUUUGAAGUCACAUGGAGUGUGGGACUCCUCUGCAUUAGAAGUUCCUCACUAUCAGGACGGGAAGAUCCUUUGAAUUCCUGUGCAUGAUGAGGAGCACCAUAAAAUGACCAGAGAUCCUUCCAGUUCCUGCACUACCCAGUGUGAAUCAUUUACAAUUUGCGUAUGUUUUGGUUUUAUGUAUUCAUUUAUUUGGGUACAGAGGGAAGUUCUUAUACCCAUUUGUCUGUGUUGUAGCGUCUAGAGCUUAGACCACAACUUUGCCUUGGCUGUGUUUCUGCCCAAAAUAGUGACUCGACUUGUGACAAGUUCAUAUGAAGUCAUGGGGCUGUCUGAGGAGGCCUCACUCUAGACAGAACUUGUCCUUUCCGAUCGUCCCGCUUCCCUCUCUGCAGUUAUCCCAAUGCCAGGGUGAAGUCAAGGCACCGCCUUUUCAGACUGCCCUGGAAAAGCAACAGCACAUACCAGUCUGUGUCUGUCAGCCUGUGCAUGCACACCUUAGGCAUGAACAGGCAAAGCUUCGGCCUCACAGCCCUUCAGGGGUGCAUUCAGUGGCUGACAGAUGUACGUGUAACCCUGUGAUACUUCAUUAGAGGAGGGUUUGUUAAAAAACAAACAAACUUCGAGCUACAAAAAAAAAAAAAAUAAAUAUUUGUUCAAGUGCAACUAUUGGUAUGGAAAUAAGUGCCUGCUCAAGUGGACAAGAGGAAACAAUAAAACAACAAGCUGGUUCCACUUCACACAUUGUUCUUCAUGUUCAUCUCCCAAAGAGCAGGAGAAAGGGGUCAUCUCCUCUUUCAAAAGUUCACCCUCUCACUUCAUUAAGCAGUGGGGAGGCCUGGGGAAAUGCUGCUGUUUGUGAUUCCCUCUGUGCCUCCCUCCCAGGUUGCAGCCUGCACUCCCAAGAUUCAGGAGAAAUCAGCCCAAGGGGCGGCUGUGCAAAGUGGGUUGGGGCAGCAACCCCACCAGGGAUCCCACCAGAGUCCCCACCUCACAUCAGCAGCCAGGCCCGCUCUCCAGUCGCAUCUCACUGUGUAUCUGUCCUCUCCCACAUCCCUUUCUUCUGGGAUGAUCUAGAAGUCUGGGAAAAUAUGAAAAAAUCUUUUCAAAACCCAUCAACAAUAGGGCAGGAAAAGGAAUAGAAGAAAAAGUCACUGAAAACAAAUGAACCAAAAGACAAAAAGAAGUACAUACAUGUUUUAGAAUGACUAUCUGAGAGAUUUGGAAGGGAAAAAAGAAUAAUUUUUCUAUGAAUUGUUUCCUAUUAAAAUUUUGUAGCAAAUUAUGACCCCAAUAAGAGCAUUGGCAAGCUGGCAUCCAUUUUGUUCUGGUUCAUUAAUCCAUUCUGAGAGGUGACAGCCCAUAUAAUGCUUUCUUGGCAAGGCAAAGAGGCAGUUCUUUGGGUAAAUCAUAACUCCACUGGCAUCACAUGUACGAUUUACACCACACAAGGGCCUGUUCCACUAUCUGAAUUCCCUUGCCCAGUUUGUAUUCUGGCCAGCUCGACUUUUAUGGUUAAACAUCCUCAUCGUUUAUUAUUCACACUGUGGCAGAAACUUGAAGUCACAAUCAGGAUGCUGUUUGCACCAGGUUGGAUGCUGUGACAACAUAUGCAACACUAUCCCAAAGAGCUUUCAUUCUUAUUCUGCUGUUAUCUGACAUAGCCCUACCCCGAGUCCGUCCAAACAGAUUUUCACCAAGUGCUUAAAUGGCUGAACCUUGGCCAAGAAGGCACCAUGGAAUUACUCACAGUGGCAGCCCAGAUGAAAUGUAAGCACCACCAAUUCAUCCAAUUAUUUUUCAAGAGAAGCUGGGGCCAGAAGGGACUUUGUACAUCAUUACUCUUGAUAUUCCAGACAUUCUUGUUUGGAGUUUGGUUCUGCAGAAAGAAAUAAUAGUUUGUUUCGUUGACAGUGGAGGACAAGUAAAAAUUAGCAGAUUUUAUGGGACAUAAAAAAGUCCAUUAGAAAAUGAUGUUUAGAGAGAGGCGUUUUUCAUCGUGCAACACAAUUCUUUAUCAUGUUUCAAAAUAAAAUAUUGAUGCAAAACAGAUGACUAUGCUUACCAAAUAUUAGUUUUUGAGUCAUCUAUAAGUCUAGAGAUAUUAAAAGAGAAUAAUACAGGAAUGUGAUGGAUAAAAGGAGGGGAAAUGUGAUAGUAGUUUAAAAUACAUCUUUUUUUGACUCUGUUCACUGAAGAAGCUAAUAGUGGCUUCCCAAAAGUCGAUUUUGAUAGUGAUUCACUUCCAUGCUUUAGUUCACUCAUUACUCCUGUAAAACUGAACUUCAGUCCAAAAUCAAACCAUAAAUAUGGGCAGCUCAGGAAGUCUGGAUUGUUUGAGAUCUGAAUUCAGAUCCCAGUUCAGCAUAUCAGCCAGGACAGAAGUCUAGGUCUGAAUGCCCUUCAAAUACUGUGGCUCUACCUGUGGGUCCUCAUAUCCUCAGCUGGUGUUUCUCUCCACCGGAAAGGCAAUUACUAUCCAGGUAACAAGCAGGGACAAUCUCUUUAAAAAUACUCACAAAAAAUGACAGUUGAACAACUUAAACUGUUUUCCAAAUGCAUGUGGAAUCUGCCUGGAAGAGACUCUAUAAACAGAACUACCCAUGAAUCAAAAAUCUCUUUAAAUUUUUCUUGCAACUUGAGUUAAAUUUCUGGGUUAUUCAAAUUUAUGUGAAAUUGAGAUAAACCUCCAAGAUUCAGUCACUUUUAAUAGCAUGAGAUACAGACUUUUCAAACCUGCUGCGAAAACUGAAACCUGGGCCAACUUUUCAUCCACAAGACACACUUAACAUCAGUAAAAAAGACAUCACUCUCUUCUCUCACUUCCUAUACAGUUUAAGGAAAAGAAAAAAAAAAAAACCAAAAAGGCAAAACAGGAAUAUGCAGGACAGAUAAAAAAAUUAUUUCUGAAAAACACAGUCCUUUCUCAUUCUGGCACUUCCACUCCUCUCAGAUGCUUUGUUUCAUACAUUUACCAGCUUCCAUGCAUCCCCAGAUCUGCAUGGGAGAUACUCAGGCUCUUUGCAAGCAGGGCAAACCUUAGAGGUGACCCAGAAACCCGCUCAGCAAAGCACUUGCCUGCACCCGUCAGAGGCUGAGCACAGCUGAAUUGGCACCUUAACCCAUACCAAGCCACUGCUGCCAACUCCAGGCAGGAUUUUUCUAACUCCUCGUUCCAAAAAAAAAAAAAAAAAAAAAAAAUUCUCUCCAGCCAAAAUCCCCUCCUGGCCUGCAAAUAUGUUCAGGCACACACCUCUGUGUUGUAAAUGAAAUAUCUGGCGUACUGCAAAACCGUGCUGAAGGAGCCAACUGGAACCGAGCAGAGCCAGCACUGGGAGAAGGUGUCUGAGCUGUUGAAUUUAGUGACUACUCGUAUGUCAUAUCCUAAGAAGCAUUAUACAUCUCACUUUAAUAGUCAUGUUGGUGGGUAUGAAUUUACCACCUGGUCUUUUCAUACCCAAUAAUGGGUAUUUUGAGGGGCAGUUCUUGAGUUGUCUUCUGUGGAAGACAACUAUCUGUCAUCCUGUUUGAAAAGGAAAGCAAAGCUCUUGUGCCAUCCACUGACUUUGACAGUAAGAGUUAUAAGGAACUCAAGCUGUCCUGUUUAGUUCAAUAACAUGAUUAGGUGCCCAGACCACAUCUUUUCAAGUCCAGGCCAAAGAAAGUGGAGUGAGCCUUUGAAAUCACUAAUGAACAUCAGUCAGGAGACUCCAACUUAUACAUGCCCUUGGAUACAGAAAGCAUUUCUAAAGGAGUUGGUAUGAACUGUUUAAAAUUGGAUAUUAUAGUUUUUAUGCUUUCUAGAUUUCAGUGCUUUUUAGGGGGUCACAUUAGUAAGAGAGAGAAAAGGGAAAAAAUGAAAAUUAGGUAGAAAGGAUUCUGCAUGUUCCUUAAUGAACUAGGAGGGUGACUGAACACCAUUCCAUGUGGGGCAAUGAAAAGACCAAAGCAUGAAAUCAUUAACUUUCAUCCUAAGAGUAAGUUGGUACUGGGAACUGUCUGAGUCAGUGCCAACGGUCUGAUUUCGGAUCUUUGGCAUACAUGCAUUCACGUUUAUUCCAAUGAGGUAUUAUGAAGUAAUAAUGAAGCAAUGAGGUAAUCCUGAAAUAAUGAAGAAAACCUAAAUUUUCCCAGAUAGCAGGGGUAGAGUAUCUAGCAGUCCUGAAAUGCUCUGCAAGUUUUGCAAAGCACUGUAUCCAACAUCUACUGGGCAGAGUUCAUUAUAUUACCAUAAUUUUCCUCCAGAUUUUACUCUCUUAAGAAGUCAACAAAGAAAAGCAGAAACAAAGUCUGGAUGAUUCCUCAGGAAUCAUUGGUCUAUUAUUUUCCCGAGGGCAUGACACUCUACACCCAACAGACAUCUGUCUGAUCUGGUAUCAAAAAUCCCCAGCAAAAAAUAACCUAUUAAGCUCUUUCUGAACUCAGCACGUGGUAAUUCAAAUUAAAUUCAUAAAGGUGAAGAGCAUCUGUAAGGUCCCACAUGCCUAGAAGAACAAAUUGUGGGAGGCAGCACCUGACCAUGUAAGACAUAAGGGUCUUUCCUAAGAACAAUCCAUACUUGCAGCUGAGCCAGAUGCUCCUUCUAAUGUGUUGUGAAUAAGCAGCUCUUCCCCUCUUACAAACCUGAGCAUGAAACAUGUUAAAAAGCUUUUAAGAGGGGAGAAAAGGGAACAUAACAUCAGCUUGGGAAAGUGUAGCCACCCUCCGUACAAAAGAACAGGCUUCCCUGGGACACCUUUAGCAGCAGUCUGUUAGCUUAAUUUCACACUUUCCAGGUGUGCCCAGCGGGUGAAUGCAACUCCCAACAUCAUCCAUGUGCAUCUUCCCACCUUCCACACAUUAAAGCGCAGCAGGUCCUUUGCCGCUCGUGUCCACCUUCCCAGGGGUCAGUUCUUCCAGUGUUCAGUGUGUGUGUGUGUGUGUGUAGGAAGCUUGCACGGGCUUGCCAUUGCUUAGAAAGAAACUCUUCAUCCCAGAAGGUUCUGAACCCCCCUGUAAUCCAUUGGGAUCUCACCUGUGGCUGUGCUGAUUUCCCAGUUGCAGCCUGCUGCAGUUUGUCUGUGCGAGGUCUCUGCAUUCAGGCUUUCCCUUCAUUCACCAGCAAGGGGAGCAGAGGACACUUUUCUCCUUGGAGCUCCUGGCUGCAAGAUUUACAGUCUGGGAUCUCUCUGGGAUUUUUUCCUCAUUUGGCAGACAGGUCCUUUGACACCUUAGGUACUGUGCUGUCAAUUAAGUUCACAAGGCUAAUCACGCUGUGAUUAAUUUUACUUAGUACCGAGUAUGGAGAGGCUUUGGUGGAGCAGCAUUCUCAGGAGAAAGUACCAGUGCCUUCCUGAUAUCCUCAAGCAACUCUUGCCACAUUCUAUGGCAGACUGCAGACCCAGCAGGCAUUGUCCUGUUACUCCAUGAAUUUUUGGACUGCAGUGUUGAGGGACAGUGAGGGACGGCUGUUCCUUAGGGAAGAGGAGCCAGGAACCCAGACUCAUAACAAGGCAUCAACUCCAGGGCUUAUUGGAAUCAUUGUGCAGUUCCCUGGCCAGGCAGAAAAAAAUAACUUAUUAAAAGGAAAGAAAAGAGUAGUUGUUUCCUGACUGAAGGAGCUGAGUUAACUCAUGGAAGCAGCUGAAGAGAAGAAAGGAAGGGUCAGGACCAUACAUGCAGGAGUGGGGAUGAGGUAUGGCAUGAGUAGAGGAGGAGGGAGAAGGAUGCAAGAUGGUAUUCUUGAAGGUGGCAAACCAUAAUACUGGCUCAUCUGCUGUAGGUGAGCACACAUGGAUCACACACAUGGAUGUGAUGUGCAGCGGGAGAAAACCUGGACAGCAGCUCUAUGGACAUGGGAGCUGCACAUCCUGCCCUAUUUACCACUGCAUGAUAGCAAGAGAUAUCUCCUCUCUGAAGCAUUUUUGAGCUUACAGUUAGAUAAAAGCAGCCCUACACAUUUUCUUUCCCUUUUUACCUACAGAUGGGAGUAAAGAGCCUUGUACCUCUCAAACUCUGAAUCACUGGGCUUACAAUAAAUAUAUCCACUUUGAGAAAAUGCAAAACAUAGGAAGUGUUCUCAACAGUCAAGAAGAAUAGAUUAUCACAUCAAACAGUCUUGGCAAUAUUUAUCAUUUUUCGUGCAUUUAUACAUUUCAUGUGGUGUAGCUUACUUACACUACAACCCAGAAAAAACAAGUUGGCCCAGCUUGGAAAGAAUCUCAUAUUCUUUAAGGUAUUUUUCUAGACUCACCAAGUCUUAUUUUUGGUUUUGCAUUAAAAUUCUACAAGGACGCAGAACUAACCCCAUACCAGCUGUUUCAGACAUGGCAAUGUGGUAUUUAAAAGUUUAAUGCUGUAAUCUUAAACCUGUAACUUGGGGCAACUCACCCUAAUAUACUUUCCUUGGAGCAACCUUCUAUAAUCAUCUUUGGGAACUGCAUAAAUGCUGUGCAUGAAUCUUGUCCUUAAUUUUGUGUUUUCUAUACAAUUUUCUAAAAGCUAAAAAUAAGUAAUAAUUUUACUUGUUUAAGCAUAAUAUAAAACUCAAAUGUGUAUUAAAAAAAACACCUGCAGCAAAAUACUUAAGAGGAUGAAAAAUGUCAACAUAUAUAGAAAUGAGAUAAUGUUUUCAGCUAAAUAUUUUUUUUAAAUGAAGCUGUUUUGGUAUGAGAGUACAGGUAGAGGCUUGAUACUCUUCCAGGCAGGUUUUAUGUUAUAGGUUUUAUGCCAGAGAAGUUGUGGAUGCCCUAUCCCUGGCAGUGGGGUUGGAACUGGAUGAUCUUUAAGGUCCCUUUCAACCCAAACCAUCCUAUGAUUCUGUGAUACACGACUGACAAAAUAUUCCUUUCAAAAAAAUGAAAUAAAAACCAUUUUAUUUUUCUCCCUAGCACAGUCUCUUUAUUCUGUCUAAAGCGCAUUAUGAUGAAGACUAAAUGCUUUUGUCUGGUCACUUGGUCAUGUUUGCAGAGAAAUCUGGAUCCUGUCCCUGCCAGGUGAGUUUCAGGACCUGAAAUCAGAGCUGGAGACCAGUUUUGCUGUAGGCAGUCACUGCCUCACACCGCUUUUCCAGAACAGCAGGUAAGUAACUCCAGAGCUGUGGCACACAGAGACACCUGGCUUCAGCCCCAGAUGACUUUCUUUGCAGCUCCCCUCCUCCUCUUUUUCUGCCUCUCCCAAGCCUCGAUGGAACACAAUUUCUGGGCCAAGAACUCUCCCAUUGUUUCCCCUGUAGCACAGUGAGUGCAGCAUAAUUCAUUUCCAUGAUUUGGUUCAGGAAGAGCAUUAAGCAAGAGCCUUGAAGAGCUCCAUAUGUUUAGCCUGUCAAAGAGAAGAUAGAAUAUUCUUUUAUUGUGAGUAUCUUAUGUACUCUUACCAAGCAGAAGCCAAACAUGAAUCAAUAUCUGGGAGUUAAAUCUGGAAAAAUUCAAGUGAGAAAUGAAGACCAAUGUUCUAAGAUCAUAAUUAAUUAUUUGCACAAGCUACCACAUAAAGAGGUGAAUCCUUUAUCUCAAGCCCAGGUGCCUUUCUGGAAGAGAUGCUUUAGACAAAUACAAGAUGCUGAACACAGGUUAGGGGUAGUUGGGUGAAAUUUUCUGGAGGUCAGACCACUAGUUUACACUUAGAAGUACAUAUAUCUAACAACCACCUGGUUUUAAAGUGUAUUUAACUUGAACAAAAAGGAUUCAAGGCAUUUUAGAAGAUUAGAAAGUCAAUCUGUAGUUUAUACCAUUCAAAUCUGGAAAGCCACAAAAAAAGAUGAUCGUAUUCUAUUCACCAUGGAAACAUGAAUACACUGAAGAAAUCAAAAUGUUGGCUACUGUGUGAUGGAAGACAAAAUGGGACACAAGGGCUGUGAAGUGAGUGAUUAAAAAUGAAUAAACUUCUAAAGACCGAAGGACUCAGCUUGUAAAAUGCAUCCUGUAAUUGCAGUGGGAUAAAAGCAGCUAAAGACACAUUUCUUGGGAAAGAUACUGGUAAACCCCAAAGACCACACUCAGAAAGCCCAGCAUGCGACAGCAAGUCGAGGAGGAAGGUUGUAAGGUAGAAUGGCAAGAUGGAAGAGGUAAAAAUAAAGAUCAAAUAGUUGAGUUAGCGGUUAUUACAUUAAAAAAUUCAUGCCAUUUCACAAAUAUGAACUGAUUUUAAUAUCAUUCACUUCUCUUGUGACAGUGGAAGGACAACAGUGGGAGAUUGUUGCUGACCAUAUUUCAAUUUAGCAAUGCUUUCUGUUGCUAAGACACAGAUGUGAUUUUUCUGAUUGCCUGAACAUGAUUACCAGUGAGUUUUCUAUUAGAAAUAAACAUGUAAAGUGACUAUUUCACUGUGGAUACAGAAAUCAAUGUCACAAAUAUGAGGAAUUAUAUAUAGGGAAGGACAGCUAUAAAUUCAGAGCUUCUUGGAUAUAAUUUCUUCUCUCCCUGGGGUAAAUCAGUAAUAAGUUGGACUAAGUAAGGUACAAUGCCUUUUUUACUCUCAGCAGCUUCUGGGAGGGCUUCCCAAAGACAUGGGACACAGCAGCCUGUCACUGAGGGAUAACAUGGGUUAGGUAUUAUGCUCACCAGAUUCAAAGCAGAGAUGUGACUGCACAUGGAUCAAAGACAAGAUAUGCUGAAGGCCAUUCCUUCAUCAAGGUAACAUCACCUCAGCCAUAACUUCCUCAGCCUCUUCCUCAUUUAAUUUGCUGACAUGUGCAAUGACAAACCACUGAGGACAAGUUUCUUUCCUGACACAGGUGAGUUCCAAGCCAAAAACUUCGUAUCCUGAAAGCUGUGCCAUACUGGUUCUGUCCACCAGAGAUGCAACUGGCUAAGGAUGCAAAGUCAACAAAGGGAAAUUGUUCUCUCAAACAUGAAAUGGCAGUUCUCUUUCUAUACCAAAAAUAUGGGUUUAUUUUGUUGUUAUAUUGCCUGUUCUUUUGUAGUAUGGUUUAUCCUUGAUUUCAAGCUAAACCAUGUCCUGGCUCACCUUUCUGGAAGGCUGUGCUUAAUGGAGAGGUGGACAGUGAGUAGAUCCUCAACAACUCAUAAGAUAAUGUGAGACAGUGUACACAAGGAAGCAUAUGCAAAAGCUUCAGUUCAGUUCCUAUCUGAGCAGAAAUCACUGCUUUGCUUAUUACUUAUUUUCCAGGUUGGCUUGCAAGUAGGUUGUUGCCUCUCAAACUGAACCUCCACAUUGUGAAGAGCCUCCUCAAUCAGCCCUGUGAUAGAGAAGUGUAUAAAACUGAACUGCGCAAAUGCAGGUUUUUAAAAAUCAGGUCAGAGAAACCCUGUCUAUGAAGAGGGUCAAACAGCAGGAAGAAGAGAGAACAGAAAAGAGAAAAAAAAAGCAUGGAUGUCUUUCCUGUUCUAAUUUAGCCUGAAUAAGAAAUUAAAGAGGGGAGGAGAGAGGGAAGAGGAAAGACAGAACUAGAAUAAAACUAUUUCAGAAUCUUUUAUGGAUGCCAAUCUUUAUUAUUUACAUAUAAAACCUGACUGGACAAAGCACUAAAAAUACACUGUAUCUCAUUGGGAACAAUCCUAUACCAGCAGGGAAAAGUAGCAGUUGACAUAAAUGGCCUUUUUCUAUCAUUAGCCUCUGUGAUUCCAUAUCCAUUUCAUCCACAGCAUGUAUGCUUCUUACAAGUCUCUCUGUAAUAAUAGUUCCAGAAAUACAAUCCAGUGCAGCACUCAUUCUCUACACUACUGAGGAACUGGUGCUUUUUAGUGCUUGUCAUAUUGGUAUGGACAUUGAUGACAGAAGUCCCAAUCCUCCUCUCUAUUCCAUUAGUUUUAUAUCAGCACAGUUCAUGCAGGCAAAAAUGUAUAAGCAGAAUAUCUCACUUAGGUUUUGGGGUGAUUUCUACAGAAAGAACAGGUGAACAGCAUGCUACAAAACUCCUGAAGAAGGUGAGUGCUGUUAUCUGUCAUUGAUAUACACACAAAUUACUUAUCAGCCAUUAAGCAACUGCCUUGACUUUUCCACUUGCUUCCAGUUCUCCGGGUCUAGAGUCACCUAUCUUCAUUAUAUUAAAGUUGUCCUAUCAGUCUUGCAGCGAAAACUGUUUUUACAGGGCAAAUUCCCCUGACCUGACAGUAGCAGGGGAAUCGUCAUUACCAAAAGUAGGAGGUGCAUGAAGAGUUUCAGUUAACACCAGAGUACCCUUAUAGCACUCUCUGAGAAGGCCACAUAGGGUACCUACUGUAGGUUUUGUACCUGACCCAGCACUUGAAUACCAUGUGCUGUCUUCCUCUUUCGAGGUCACCACUUAGCAGGAGACUCCAGCUUGUUGAAGUAUGUGGGUGCUCUGACUGAAGCCAAAAUACCCAGGAACUUUGUUCCAGCAGUUUUUUUUGUUUCAGGCUUUUCCCACUGAGAUUAUCUGAAGAUCACCUCUGAUGUGACUUUCUGCCUUCUCUGCAUUGUUAGAGAGAUGACCUGGCAUGACAUGCAGGUCUUUACCACGCAGAUGUUAUCUAGGUUAACAUUCCCCUCCUCGUAUUCAACUUCUCAUUGCAGGUUUUUGGCUUUGUUGUUUUGUGCAGACAGUCCUCAGGGAGAGGGAGACCUUUGGGCUUGACUGGCCCACAUUUCUUAUUGCAGGCGCUCCUGCAGCACCUUGUGAAGCCCAAAGGUCAACCUAAAUCCAGGGCUGGGUGCUGGAACAGGCUCCCCAGGGCAGUGGUCACAGCACAAAGCCUGACAGAGUCCAAGAAGUGUUUGGAUGAUACUCUCAGAGGCAUAGGGUGUGAUUCUUGGGGAUGGUCCUGUGCAGGGCUAAGGGUUGGACUCAAUGAUCCUUGUGGGUCCCUUCCAGCUCAGCAUAUUCUGUGAUUCUGUAAAUCCAAAUGAUGGCCUUAGAAAUACUUCUAAUUCCAAGCCAAGACCAUUUCAGCUCAAAGAAGAGAUGUGUUCUCUGCGCGGAUUGUCCAAGAGUUUGUUCAGCCUCAGCUGAGGGAAUCCUCAACUGGAAAAGGGUAACUGCUGUGUCAGAGUUAGAGUAGAUUGCCCUCAACACAUUAAUCAUGAACUGACUUUGGUUGUUUCUGACCCAGUUGUAUCUGUUUAACAAGAGGAUGAAGAGUACCUCCUUAUGAAACAGCACAUUUCCUACUCAAACUGUCUAGCCUGAAAAGUUUUAAAAUUCAUCCUUACUGAUGAUUAUUGCAGCACUACAUGCGUGGACGGGUGUAUUAAAUGCCUGACUCUUCCUCCACUUGCAUUUUGGAUUCUGGGCACCCAUCAUGCCACGGCUUAACAGCAGGAGCAGCAGCCAAGGCAGCUUGUGCAAAAGUCCUGAAAUGCCAUGUUUUACAAGCUGAAAUAUGAAGUGAUAACUUCAGGAAGUUUGUUCAUACUUUGGAUAAGUGAAUGAGGGAGGAAGCAAGUGCGUGGUUUCAGAACGAGUGAAUUAUUUAAGCCAACAACCCAGAAAUGCAAAGGGAGGAUGUCAGGUCUCUGAAAGAAGCUGAACUGGACUGUAUUCCCUCAUCAUCAACAAUAACAGCGUGGGUGUUCUGAAUGCUACCAAGUCCUGGGUUUUGACACGAAAUUUUACAUCACCACAAAAAACCCACAUCUGUUCAAAUUUGUCUUCACCAACACUUCUGUAAUUUAGCAACUUGCCAGUUGCAUAAUAAAAUCAAACUGGGCAUGUUGCCUUAUGUUUGGCACUUUGCUUUAUUUACAUUUUGCAUAGGUGCCCAAAGAUCAUCGGGCAAUGAUUGAUGAGAAAUUCACAAUAUUACUGCAGGUUCUUAGAUUAUUAGUCAUUCUUGGACAAAUGAGAUAAUGUCACACAAAAGUUGAGAGAACCAGAGGGCUUUUUUAAACCUGCUUUUCUAAGCUAAUGAGAUUUGCAUAUUUCCAGUGUACGUGUAUUUUUAACUAUGUGCAACUAUGAGACCUGGCAAUACUUUUUGAACCUGUUCACCAAUUUAAAGGAAAAAAAUCUAGCAGGAAUAUGGGAAGAGAUGUCAAAGAUACAACUGUCAGCCAAAUUCAUUAAAACAGAGAGAGAAAGAGCUAAUUAAAAUUUACAUGAGAGAAAAGAAAGGCCAAGAAGGAGAGAAAGAAUGAAAGAGAGACUAUAAAUGUCUAUCUAUAGGGAAAAUUUUAGUUACAGUUCAUAUAUUAGUAAAAGUGAAGCUGAUCAAAAACUCAAACAAAACCCACAGUAAACUAGACUUCCUUUAUUCCAGUGCUUAGGGAGUUACUUGGAGUUUUGAUUUCUUUAUGCAAUAAUAUUUUCCUGCAUAGAGUUCCUUACACAUAGAAUUCAGCGACAUAUAAAGGGACUUUAAACAAUGGGAGGCUGGAAUAUUUAACAGAUAAAUUUAGAAGGGAGGGAGGGAUUCCACUGUGCCAGUCGGACUUCACCAUCUCCCUUUCCUUGGCAUCUAGAGAAAAACUCCAUUAGAAAAGCAAGAAAGCAUGACAAAGUAAACCCACAGGUUUUUUCCCUACUGAGAGCUUCAGACAUACAAACGGGUCCUUGCCAGAUAGCAACUGAGAUUGUAUCAUUUCCAAACAACUGACUCAAAGAAAAAAAAAUAAAAUGUAGGCACCUUGAGAAUUCUCUCAGGCUCAGAACUGCAGAGAUUGUUUUGCAGAAGUGAGCUUUGGUCUUGGAUUACAAAUGUUUGUGCCAAAUUUCAGUUUCCGGUGCUUUUGCCCGCAUGUGAGUAUGUGUGAAAUUAUUAAUCCUUGAAAGCAGGGACUCGUAAUAACGGAGUUAUUGACAUUUUCUUGGCUCUGACAUUGCAGAUGUGAUACUAAAGACAGGAAACAUUCCCACUGUUUGAUGAAGAGGGUACCCAGGAAACACCAGCAGUAAUCAUUCUUCAAGCAGAAGAUGUUUUCCGUCAUCUCCUUCUUGACAACUAUAAAUAAAGGACUCAAUCUUAUUUUUAUACACUAUUUCUACACCGUAAGAGACAGAAUGAUAUAUCCCACAGUUUACUAUGAGAGCCAUAUACACAGGGAUGAGAUUAUAAACAAAGUAUGUAUGCACCACAAAUGUUUGUGUUUUAAGCAGUGUUACGAAGCAGAGGUUCACAACUGCACUUGCUGGCCUUGGUUAAUGCAGAAACACCAUUUUUCGUGCUGUAGCUAAAGUGUUUCAAAGACAAAUGUUGAUAUGCAGACAGAGGAUGAAAUCAGUAUUUACUUUCGAGCGUAAAAGAACUAUUAAGAGCUACCAAAGUGAAAUGCUACCACUAUUUUUCUUAGCUAUGUCAAACAAAGAUAUUUGGAAACAGAAAUAUAGACAUUACACUGUGGUGCUCAUCCCCAGGCCUGAAAGAUCUCUGAAUGAAGCACCAGUACUCCUCUUCCCCUUCCCUUUCCCCUUUCCCCUUUCCCCUUUCCCCUUUCGCCUUUCCCCUUCCCUUCCCUUCUCUAACCUUCUCAAGCCUUCCCUUCCCAAGCCUUCCCUUCCCUAACCUUCCCUUCUCAAACCUUCCCUAACCUUCCUUUCCCAAACCUUUCCUUCCCAAACCUUCCCUUCCCUAAUCUUCCCUUCUCAAACCUUCCCUAACCUUCCCCAACCUUCCUUUCCCAAACCUUUCCUUCCCUAACCUUCCCUUCUCAAACCUUCCCAAACCUUCCCAAAACCUUCCCUUCCUAUUUCCCUUCCCUUCUCAAACCUUCCCUUCCCAUUUCCCUUCCCUUCUCAAACCUCUCUUCCCAAACCUUCCCUUCCCAAACCUUCCCUUCCCUCUCCUUUAGGUCCGGCCAUGUCAUUACCACUUAGGGGGAAAAUAAUAACCAUAAAAAAGCUCCACAAAACAGGGAGUUACUGGGCAAAUAGGUAAAGGAGGUACCAAUCCAACGUUCCGCAUCUGAACAUUUCAUUUUCUGUUGUCUUGUUAUUCAAGCACUUUUUAUAUUCUGUUGCCUGAAUCAGCAUGGGCUCCCUUGUCACCGCAUGUGAGUUCCCAGAAAAACGCUCUCCUCCUCCCACCUUACUUCUUGCUGCAGAAUUACAGCCAUUUAGCCACGAGGAAUCCAUCACUGGCCCAGUUGCAGGCAAAGAGUGAACAAUAAAAACGGAGAAAGCUGUAACUGCCGUGUUGGCACUACCAAACCUGCAGCGAGAAUAAAUCCUCACAACCUUACCCCAGCACUGGGGGAAUAUGCACAUCUUUGGGAAGCAGAUUUGACCCUCUGCCCAUUUUUCCCCCCUGAAAAUCUGUGCUGCGGGUUUGCAGCGGUUUUGACACGACCACAGACCUUCGCUGCACGGCAGCAGUAUCAGUUUGCAGGCAAAUGACCAUGCCGGGAAGUGUGAGUUCUCAGGCUAUCUAAUGACUCUGUCAGCACGGAUGUGUCAGUGCUGUUCUCACAAGGCAUCGUAGAGCCUUGCACAGGAGUCAUGUGAGAGUGAGUGAGAAAUCAGCUGGAUCUAAUCAGAAGGAAUGGCAUAAUUAACAGGAAUUCUGUGAGGAGCUGUUUGUUAAGUGAUAUGCAGGGCUCCCUCUUUUAGUGGCUCAUUAUUCAACCAAGCCUGAGUAAAGCUUCGCUGUCUCCACGGAGCACAAUGUAAAUAGAAAAACAGCUUCAUUUUCCCCAUCCUGUCACUGUAGACCAUAAUCUAAGCUGAUCAUACUUUUCCAUUUUUCACACAACUUUUCCACAGUGUGGAUAGAGGCAUCUAAAGUGUUAUAAAAACGUGCUAGUUGAGGACACGGAGGGAGGCAAGCUGGCCAGAGCUGCCUGGAGAGGGCAGCCCCAGUGCUUUCUGGCUUCUCCUGAGACUACUCAAAGUGUGAGGAAGCAAGAAGAUAAUAAUAGGCUCUAGUGAGACAAGGAAAGUAUUGCUGAGGCAAGUGCUGCAAAGAAUUUCAAGCUCACAUGGGGAGGUUUUCUUGGAAAGUAGCUUUCUCUUUGAGAGAUAACCAGAUAAACCCAGCACUGGCAGGAGAUGUGGAACCUCACCCACUCCAUGACACUGCAUUGUAUGCAAAGGGAAAUUUCAGUCAGCAGAAGACAGGGAGGAAAAAGGAGCAUCAAGCUGGCUGUUGCCAAAGGAGUAGCUCCAACGUGACCUCACAUACUGCCACUGCCACAAGCCAACCAGCAUUGCUUCUGCCCCACCAUCCACCUUAGAGCGUGGUGAAUGCUCUUCCUUCCCCUACUGCCAAGGACAUGUUUGCUAAUGGACUGCUGACAGAUGGGUGAGAACAUUUGUUUUAUUUCUCUCCUUUUCUUAAUUUCUAAAAAAACCCCCAACCCCUUGAGAAGAAACAAAUGCCAUCCAUUCAUCUAUUUCUCUGCAGCCCAAGGAAAUAUGGCCACCCCCUGUUGAUUUAAAUAGCUUAAAAAAACACCCAAACUAAAAGCUAACUACUGUUUCCUGUUAUGGGAAAUGCAAGGAUGUGCCAUUAGGCUUUCUUCCAUCUUGUGCAAGAAAUGCAAUCAUGUAGCUGUCACUGGCACACCAAAUCUGUGCUCCAUAGCUGUUGCUGACCAACAGCAAACAAGAGCCCACCAGCAUUGUAGGGCAAGGACAUCUAAUCAGUGUGCUCUAGAUUUUAGUGUGAAAUCUAGGUAGGAAAUCAGGGCCAAUACAUGAUCAAAGACAUAAUUUAGCUGAAGAGAUGCACAGUGAAGGAUUUUCCAUCUUUAUUUCUCCCUUUUUCUGUAGACAAUAGCAAAGACUUCUCUUCCUCAGACUUCCACAAGUCUGCCAGAGAUGUUCUGGACAGAAAUAUAUGUGCCCAUAUAGGAUACUGCAUAUUCACAGGCCUUUACCCAUCUCUAGUGUGUUGGAUUCACCAUUCUUGGGCAGCACAUCUGCCUAAGAUUCAAAUUUACCAGCUGUGCCUUCUUUCCCUGCCCAGAAGCUCUGUCCAGACAGGAUCUGAAAAAUACAUGUCCAUUUGGCCUGAAUUUCUUGAUGUUCAGCAAUCCAGGAGGAGUGAUAUUUCCAGUCAGAAAAUGAGGCAAGAUCAACAAAACCCAGACACAUGGCAGUUGUAUCUUUUACAACACAGAUGGACUGGAUGCAUCCUCCCUUGGAAAAAACUUUGGUUGUUAUACCUCAGUUUUAAUAACUUCUGCUACAAACUGGAUCCCAUUGCAUCAAUUCACUCUUGUUUCAGCAAAUCCCAGCUCAGCUUUGCUUCUAGGCUCCUGUUAGUGAGUCCUGACUGGCAGCCAAGGAAAUUAGAGUGUUUUCUAACUGCAGGGGUUUGGAGAACCAAAAGUAACCCCAAACCCCAGACAGUGGUUAGUAGGCAAAUGUGAGGCUGCUUAUACGUGAAGGAAUGUCUCAGUGGAAAGAGAAAUAGAGACCAACCUUAAAUCCAUUGCUGGUGAUGACUCAGAAAUGAAGGAACAGGAAGUGUAGAUCGAGGAGCAAACCACGCCAUGACUGAGACACCCAGUUUCCAAAUGAGAUACAGUUUGGCCAAGCUGUCCUAAGAGUGGCAAGUAUGUUUGUGGUAGAUUAGAUGCUUCUUGGGAACACUCCACUUGAGCAGAAAGGCAGCCAUACCUAUAAGGUAAGAAAAUCCCCUCCCAGAAUAAAAGUUCAAAACAAAAAUAAAAUAGCUGAAUGUAAUUUUCCCCCCCAUUUUCUUCUUUCUUUUUCUCUCAUUAGACACAUUAGAUCUGUUGGAGGGAUUUUUUUUUUUUCCAUUCAUGUUUCAUGAAUGCAAAAAACAUGUGCAACAUGUGCAAAUUAAGGAUUUAUUUGACAGACAAAUGGCAGCUGCCAAAGCCAGCAGGGAAAAGUUUCUGAAAGCUAGUGGUUUCCCAGAUCCUUACAGUUGCUUUUUUUUUUGUGUGCUUGUUGUUGUCUGGUAUGUAGUAGAUUCUGGUAGGAAUCUCCAAAACUGAUGAUUUUUUAUGAUUUGAAGCCCUCUCUAUGUUAUUUAUGUCAGAAUCAAUAGAACAGUUCAUAUUAAAAAGAUGUGUUGCAACAGUCAAUUCAAACAGAGCAAUUUGUAUGCAAGUGGAACUGAUCAGUCCAAUAAAAAUGAUUGCCAAGUCUCCUGAGACUUUUAGAAAUACUUUCAGAAACAUAUUUUUAAUAAAAAAUAAAUAUAUAGGAGCAUGAGUUUCAAAUGAGAAGCAAACCUGUUCUGAACAACUGAGGAAAAGAAUUUACACAUUGAUUAAAGACUGUUUCUAUUAAAUUA